GAUGAACGCUAGCGGCAGGCCUAAUACAUGCAAGCCGAACGGCAAGUUGAGUAGCAAUACUUGACCUAGAGUGGCGUAAGGGUGCGUAACACGUAUGCAAUCUACCCGCAACAGGAGGAUAGCUCUCCGAAAGGGGAAUUAAGCCUCCAUGGGAUCAUGGGGUGGCAUCACUCCAUGAUUAAACUACCAGGGGUUGUGGAUGAGCAUGCGCAUGAUUAGUUAGUUGGCGGGGUAACGGCCCACCAAGACGAUGAUCAUUAGGGGAACUGAGAGGUUGAUCCCCACACUGC
rnacentral:rRNA from 1 species